rnacentral:rRNA from 1 species
GUAAAUCAUUGUGGUCAAGCUACUAAGGGUAUACGGUGGAUGACUUGGCGUACAGAGGCGAUGAAGGUCGGUGUAGCCUCCGAUAUGCUCCGGGGAGCCGGCAAACAGGCUGUGAUCCGGAGAUCACCGAAUGAGGUAACUCAUUCACGGCCCGCUGAAUGCAUAGGCGGGUGCGAGCGAACGCAGGGAACUGAAACAUCUAAGUACCUGCAGGAAAAUAAAGAGAAAUCGAUUCCGUCAGUAGUGGCGAGCGAACGCGGAAGAGC